rnacentral:rRNA from 1 species
UACGUAGGGAGCAAGCGUUGUCCGGAAUCAUUGGGCGUAAAGCGCGCGUAGGCGGCUCGAUCAGUCUGUUGUGAAAGUCAAAGGCUCAACCUUUGAAUGCCGAUGGAUACUGUCGAGCUAGAGUCCGGAAGAGGCGAGUGGAAUUCCUGGUGUAGCGGUGGAAUGCGCAGAUAUCAGGAGGGACACCAACGGCGAAGGCAGCUCGCUGGGACGGUACUGACGCUAAGGCGCGAAAGCGUGGGGAGCGAACAGG